ensembl:snRNA U2 U2 spliceosomal RNA
AUUGCUUCUCGGCCUUUUGGCCAAGAUCAAGUGUAGAAUUUCCCACGUUUCUUUUUACUUUCCACACGUGCUACUUAGUAAACUUAAAAUUACGUAUGUGACUCGCAUUAUUGUUCAAUUAGACUCCACUGCCCUUGAGUGCAGUCUGA